rnacentral:rRNA from 1 species
GACGAACGCUGGCGGCGUGCUUAACACAUGCCAGUCGAACGGAAAGGCCCUGCUUUUGUUGGGUGCUCGAGUGGCGAACGGGUGAGUAACACGUGAGUAACCUGCCCUUGACUUUGGGAUAACUUCAGGAAACUGGGGCUAAUACCGGAUAGGAGCUCCUGCUGCAUGGUGGGGGUUGGAAAGUUUCGGCGGUUGGGGAUGGACUCGCGGCUUAUCCGUUUGUUGGUGGGGUAGUGGAUUACCAAGGCUUUGACGGGUAGCCGGCCUGAGAGGGUGACCGGCCACAUUGGGACUGAGAUACGGCCCGGACUCCUACGGGAGGCAGCAGUGGGGAAUAGUGCACAAUGGGCGGAAGCCUGAUGCAGCAACGCCGCGUGCGGGAUGACGGCCUUCGGUUUGUAAACCGCUUUCGCCUGUGACGAAGCGUGAGUGACGGUAAUGGGUAAAGAAGCACCGGCUAACUACGUG